GAGGGUGCUAAGGUAGCGAAAUUCCUUGCCUUUUAAUUGUAGGCCUGCAUGAAAGGUUUGACGAGGGCUUAACUGUCUCUAGUUUGUAAGUCUAAAUUGGAUUAAAGGUGAAGAUACCUUUAUAAAAAAGUCAGACAAGAAGACCCCGUGCAACUUUUAAAGUCAACUUGUUUAGGAGUUUCAGAUUUUUAGGUGGGGCGCCUAUUAAGUAAUAUUAACCUUAGUGUACGAUAAAACUUUCAAGUAUAGACCCGACAAUGUCGAUCAUAGGAGAAGUUACGCCGGGGAUAACAGGCUAAUCCACUAGUAGAGAACGUAUUGGCUAGUGGGAUUGGCACCUCGAUGUUGAAUCAGGGAUGAUACCUCUAAGGCGUAGAAGCUUUAGAAGUGGGUCUGUUCGACCUUUAAUACC
rnacentral:rRNA from 1 species